GACGAACGCUGGCGGCGUGCCUAAUACAUGCAAGUAGAACGCUGAAGGAGGAGCUUGCUCUUCUGGAUGAGUUGCGAACGGGUGAGUAACGCGUAGGUAACCUGCCUGGUAGCGGGGGAUAACUAUUGGAAACGAUAGCUAAUACCGCAUAAUAGUAGAUGUUGCAUGAUAUUUACUUAAAAGGUGCAAUUGCACCACUACCAGAUGGACCUGCGUUGUAUUAGCUAGUUGGUGGGGUAACGGCUCACCAAGGCGACGAUACAUAGCCGACCUGAGAGGGGGAUCGGCCACACUGGGACUGAGACACGGCCCAGACUCCUACGGGAGGCAGCAGUAGGGAAUCUUCGGCAAUGGACGAAAGUCUGACCGAGCAACGCCGCGUGAGUGCAGAAGGUUUUCGGAUCGUAAAGCUCUGUUGUAAGAGAAGAACGAGUGUGAGAGUGGAAAGUUCACACUGUGACGGUAUCUUACCAGAAAGGGACGGCUAACUACGUG
rnacentral:rRNA from 1 species